ensembl:lncRNA
GGCCAAUGAACCUACCAAGGAGGCUGCCAAGCUCACCAACCUAGGCUAGGGACAGAAGAUUUGAGACCAAGGAGCCACAGCUGGUUACCAGAAAGGGAAACGGAUAUGAGUCAGGCAGCCCAUCAGGAGUAAGGGGGGCUUUACCACGCCACUGCGAUUUGUACCGCUCCACUGUUUCCCCGAGCUCUAAAGACCUGCCAGGAGGUGACAAAGGCGAGACAAUUUCGAGUUCACAGUCCUGUGUCCUCGAAGCAUAACAGCGUGCCAGAGAUGGGGACUUGCUGGGCCUGUGGGUUGCAAAGUCAGCGGUCUUUCCUUCAAGCCCGCCCAGAGGAGGGAGUGAGAUGAGGGAGUGAGCGGAGAAUUGGGGUGCAGCUACAGAUUCCUGGAAAAGGUUCACCCCAGCUCCAACCUCAGAGAAGCAUGGCGGAAAGAGCCCAGAGUACAGGAAGGGACCGGAAGGAGGUGGCAAGCAGAAAGGCGUAUGGGGUAUCAGUCUAGCCAUGAUUGAUGGAAAACAUCACUACUUCCGGUUAAGACCAUCUGUGCCCUCUUGCCAUGGACUGCCAGGAUCUUUCCUGCCCACCCAGACCCUGAGCUAUCCAGUCCCGGAAGGGCUGUAUUGGGAACCCCACUUAGUCUUGUUUGCUCUCUGGUUGUUGAGACAAGAGCCCUGAGGAGGCCUUUACCUCCUUUGAGGCAUGAUCAGGAACACAAGCAACCUGUUCUCUGAGGCCUCUGGCCUCAGGGCAAACAGUCAGGUGGAGCGUUCAGCCCUGACUUCAGCUAUCACUCAUCUGACACUGCCAGUGACCCAGCAAGUGAACCCCCGUGGGGCAGGGACCCAGGGCUUCCAGCUUGAGCUGCCCCUGAGAACUGCCUGGAGGAGGUCUCAUUAGUGUCUACAAAGACAUCAAUAUCAUUCCUCCUCUUGGUGCUGUUGAGCAUGCGGAGUUGAGUUUUCUGAGAAGAGACUCACACCAUGAACUAAAAAUAUUCUACACAUCCCAAAAGACAGAGGCUUCAAAGGUGAAACCCCUGGCCAAGACUCCAGGUGUAUUUUAUGCCUACCCAGGUCACUCUGCUCUCCAAAAGUUAAACUGCAGAGCAGGUGAGAAGGCUCACUGGGUAACUGCACUUGCUGUCAAACCUGGUGGCUUGGCUUUGUUCCCCUACGAUCCAUACAGUAGAAGAGCACCAACUCCCACAAGUUGUUCUCUGACUUUUACAUAUGCUCUGUGUGUGAACCCCCAACACACAUACACACACACAUACACACACACACACAACAAAUCAGUAAAUGUAAUUUUUUUCUUAAGUUAAACUGUGACCCUCGGCUAUUUAAGUAUGAGUUCCCAUCCUGGUUGUUCUCCUCUGGUGAGAAACAAGAAGCCAAAGAGGAAAGACCUUCAAAGUCAGAAGGAGCAGCACUGGGAUAGUGCCAUUCCUCUUCUCUAGCUCUACUAUGUCCCAGCUUUCAUUACAGCAACUAUGUGGAAAUGAGUCCACCAGGCCUCAGAGAACCCAGGCCUCCAAGAUGGAAGAGUUUGCAAAGCCUGGAGAAGAAAAGUGGGCCCACUGGCUGCCCUAUAAAUUAGAGACUCAUUAAGAAGAGGCAGGAAGGGCUUUGGGGGCCUGAGCCUUUCGAUUUCUUGUUGGGAUAGUUUAUUGCUAUUGUUUCUAUUUC